CGAUAAUAUUCACAAAAGGAUUGUCUCUCUCUCAUUAAUGCAUGCAUUAAUUCGGCGGAUGUGGUAGGGGCCUCGAUCAAUAAGAAGCGCGGAAGAUGGUCUCUCUCUUGUUGGUAUGAAAACACACAAUGAAAGUCAGAAAAAUAGAAGAAGAAAGAGUGCUUCACAUCCAUUGUCUCUCCCUCAUUAAUGCCUGCACAUGCACGCAUUAAAUGGG
rnacentral:lncRNA from 1 species